GCACAAUGGGGGAAACCCUGAUGCAGCAACGCCGCGUGAAGGAUGACGGUUUUCGGAUUGUAAACUUCUUUUCUUAGUGACGAAGACAGUGACGGUAGCUAAGGAAUAAGCAUCGGCUAACUACGUGCCAGCAGCCGCGGUAAUACGUAGGAUGCAAGCGUUAUCCGGAUUUACUGGGUGUAAAGGGAGCGCAGGCGGGACUGCAAGUUGGAUGUGAAAUACCGUGGCUUAACCACGGAACUGCAUCCAAAACUGUAGUUCUUGAGUGAAGUAGAGGCAAGCGGAAUUCCGAGUGUAGCGGUGAAAUGCGUAGAUAUUCGGAGGAACACCAGUGGCGAAGGCGGCUUGCUGGGCUUUAACUGACGCUGAGGCUCGAAAGUGUGGGGAGCAAACAGGAUUAGAUACCCUGGUAGUCCACACUGUAAACGAUGAUAGCUAGGUGUGGGGGGUCUGACCCCUUCCGUGCCGGAGUUAACGCAAUAAGCUAUCCACCUGGGGAGUACGACCGCAAGGUUGAAACUCAAAGGAAUUGACGGGGGCCCGCACAAGCAGUGGAUUAUGUGGUUUAAUUCGAAGCAACGCGAAGAACCUUACCAGGUCUUGACAUCCGACUAACGAGAUAGAGAUAUGUCAGGUGCCCUUCGGGGAAAGUCGAGACAGGUGGUGCAUGGUUGUCGUCAGCUCGUGUCGUGAGAUGUUGGGUUAAGUCCCGCAACGAGCGCAACCCCUGCCAUUAGUUGCUACGCAAGAGCACUCUAAUGGGACCGCUACCGACAAGGUGGAGGAAGGUGGGGACGACGUCAAAUCAUCAUGCCCCUUAUGACCUGGGCUACACACGUAAUACAAUGGCCGUUAACAGAGGGAAGCAAAGCGGUGACGCAGAGCAAAACCCUAAAAACGGUCCCAGUUCGGACUGUAGGCUGCAACCCGCCUACACGAAGUUGGAAUUGCUAGUAAUCGCGGAUCAGCAUGCCGCGGUGAAUAC
rnacentral:rRNA from 1 species